CUAAGAACUUGGAAAGAUUCAUGGACCUCCUCCAGUAUGUGAAAGCCACCACUGUGGAGCAAGUGGGAAAGCAGUUGCUUGACUCUGAAGAUUCUGAGCUGUCCCAGCCUAUGUCCAUGAAGGAUUGUAAAGAGCCCUCAAUUCACCUGUGCUCUCCCAAGAGAGAGCUAGCACAUUAUAGGGUGGUGGCAACCCACCAUUUUUAGCACCAACUGCUGAAAGAUAGAAAAGAAAAGAAUUGAGGAUUCUCAGAAAAGAGAAGACUUGAAGGUAACCAUGUAAGAUUUAUUCUAUAGCCUCAA
rnacentral:lncRNA from 1 species